rnacentral:rRNA from 1 species
GACGAAGGGGGCUAGCGUUGUUCGGAAUUACUGGGCGUAAAGCGCGUGUAGGCGGUUGCCCAAGUCGGGUGUGAAAGCCUUGAGCUCAACUCAAGAAAUGCACUCGGUACUGGGUGACUAGAGGACCGGAGAGGAUGAGUGGAAUUCCCAGUGUAGUGGUGAAAUACGUAGAGAUUGGGAAGAACACCAGUGGCGAAGGCGGCUAUCUGGACGGUUUCUGACGCUAAGACGCGAAAGCGUGGGGAGCAACAGG